AAUUAAGAAGAAAUCAUAAUUUUAGUAUUAUCUUUAACAAAGGGGAUAAACGGCUUAGGGUUUUUAGACUUGUGUUGGGGUGAUUCUACUCCAACUUGUUCAUCACCAAUGUACUAUCAGACUAUUUGUAUAAAAAUGGGCUUUAUAUUUGAUUUCAACACAAUUGUCCAACCAUUUCGUACAUAGUUGAUUUUGGGAUUGGUAAACCAAUUGAUGAUUGAGGUGUUGCUCAUAGGAGGAAUGGGUGGCAGUAAUGGAGGUGAGUGGCGAUGAUGAGUCAAAGAAAUUGGUAGAGGAAGCAUGGGAGUUGGUAUUGGCAGUAGAAUUGGAGCAAGCAUUGGUGGUGGGGAAGGUGGCGGUGGAGUGUUGGGAAUGGGGGUGGGUGGGUUGGAAUUGGGGAGUUUUAGGGGAUGAAGAAAACAGAGCUAAACUGGAGAAAUAUUCAAAUCAAAAAGCAAUCAGGUGGCUCUUUUGGUAGCUAGAUGUAUGAUUAUUCAAAUAAUUUAUUUGGCACUAUUGCUUUCUUAAAUUUCAAUCUAUUUUAUAUAGAAAUUUAUGUAUACACAUCGACAAUCAAUUGGUUUUAGAUUGAACUAUAUUACCUUAAGCGCAUGAUGCUCUUCUUAUUGUUCGCCUCCAAUUUCACUGUAGGUUACUGUAGUGCUACUUAUUAUGAGAUUUCGUCUCCAAAUAUGAUGUAUCAUAC
rnacentral:lncRNA from 1 species